AUUGAACGCUGGCGGCAUGCUUUACACAUGCAAGUCGAACGGCAGCGGGGAGGAGCUUGCUUCUCUGCCGGCGCGUGGCGAACGGGUGAGUAAUACAUCGGAACGUGUCGAGAAGAGGGGGAUAACCACCCGAAAGGGUGGCUAAUACAGCAUAAAUUCUGAGGAAGAAAGCUGGGGACCUAGGAAUAGGCCUAGCGCUUUUUGAGCGGCCGAUGUCGGAUUAGCUAGUUGGUGAGGUAAAGGCUCACCAAGGCGAAGAUCUGUAGCGGGUCUGAGAGGAUGAUCCGCCACACUGGAACUGAGACACGGCCCAGACUCCUACGGGAGGCAGCAGUGGGGAAUUUUGGACAAUGGGGGCAACCCUGAUCCAGCCAUGCCGCGUGUAUGAAGAAGGCCUUAGGGUUGUAAAGUACUUUUGUUAGUGAAGAAAAGUCAGCUGUGAAUAAUGGCUGAUACUGACGGUACCUAAAGAAUAAGCACCGGCUAACUACGUG
rnacentral:rRNA from 1 species